CCAAAACCUAAUUUCUAGGAGUUUUGUCCCUGCCGCCGCCACCGCACUCGUCUCCCACCUCGGGAUCCAUCCCCAUCCAAACCUGCCCGAUCCCCGAUCCAAUCUAUCCACUCCACCCGGCCAACCCAACCACCUCCUCGUUUUGCAUCCCCGACCAACCAAGUAGCGCGCCCCGACGCCUCCUCGUGCCCGCACAGCCCGCGAGGAACCGGCCUCCUCUGCUUCGCGCCUGACCGAGACCCCGAGCAGGAGCGCUCGGCUUCGUCUCCUCCGCCCGUUGGCUGCACCUCAUCUCCUCCCGUGCGCCUCCAUCUCGUGCCGCCAGCCAUGCCUCCCCGCCGGUGACGAGCAGCAGCACCCGAGGCUCCCUGUCUCCUCAUGUUGGUGACCAACCUGACGACACUAGGCUGAACGAUGUUGCUGCAGUGCUGCCCGAGAUCCUUGAGCGCUAGAUCCGGCGAGCCUCACCGGAUCCAUCUCCUGCACCCUGUAGCUCGGCGUCCCCGUGCCCCUUGUCGCCGGAGACCCUGUGCAAGUCACUGCCGCUGCCUCCCCUGCGUCCUCUACAUCGCGCCGCCCCCUGUCUUCCCUUCUCCAAAUCAAACGCCAAGCCGUGUCACCGGCCAAGUCCCUUGACUCACCGACCGGAGCCACCUCCUUGUCGUUCCCUCGCCGGACCUCCCCUGCUUCGCCAAGCCAUCGCCUUCCUUCGCGUCAUCCCUGUCGCCCGAGUCGACGUGCCAUGUUCUGCACGGAUCCGCUGCCUGUAGGCCCUUCCUGGCCGGAUCCCACUGUCGCGUUGCCGUUCCUCGCCCACAGCUCCUCCCAGCUGCCGCCGUCCUGCUUCUUCCCGGUGAGAGCCUCACCUCUGCUUCGUCCGAUUUGAGCGAGCGCUGCCGUCCCCCCUGCGUUGACCGGCGCCAAGUUCCCCCGCGCCUGGACCCCGCUCGACCCCGUUGACCGCGCCCCUGCUUCGUCCAUCGCCUGGGCCUCCUCUGCCGAACCGGGCCAAGGCCCACUGGUUUGCUUCUCUCGAUAGCUUCGGUUUCGUUCCGGAGUUGUGAGGAUUCGUUCGACUACGU